AGCAGCCGCGGCAAUUCCAGCUCCAAUAGCGUAUAUUAAAGUUGUUGCAGUUAAAAAGCUCGUAGUUGAAUUUUGGGUCUGGCCGGGCGGUCCGCCCUCUGGGUGAGCACUGUUCCGACGCCGGGCCUAUCCUUCUGGUGAGUCGGCAUGUCCUUUAUUGGGUGUGCCGGGGAACCAGGACCAUUACCUUGAAAAAUUAGAGUGUUCAAAGCAGGCGUAUGCUCGGAUACAUUAGCAUGGAAUAAUGAAAUAGGACGCGUGGUGCUAUUUUGUUGGUUUCUAGAACCGCCGUAAUGAUUAAUAGGGAUAGUUGGGGGCAUUAGUAUUCAAUUGUCAGAGGUGAAAUUCUUGGAUUUAUUGAAGACUAACUUCUGCGAAAGCAUUUGCCAAGGAUGUUUUCAUUAAUCAAGAACGAAAGUUAGGGGAUCGAAGACGAUCAGAUACCGUCGUAGUCUUAACCAUAAACUAUGCCGACUAGGAAUCGGGCGAUGUUAUUCUC
rnacentral:rRNA from 1 species